AUUGAACGCUGGCGGCAUGCUUUACACAUGCAAGUCGAACGGCAGCGGGGGCUUCGGCCUGCCGGCGAGUGGCGAACGGGUGAGUAAUGCAUCGGAACGUGCCCAUGUCGUGGGGGAUAACGUAUCGAAAGGUACGCUAAUACCGCAUACGUCCUGAGGGAGAAAGCGGGGGAUCGCAAGACCUCGCGCGAUUGGAGCGGCCGAUGUCGGAUUAGCUAGUAGGUGAGGUAAAGGCUCACCUAGGCGACGAUCCGUAGCGGGUCUGAGAGGAUGAUCCGCCACACUGGGACUGAGACACGGCCCAGACUCCUACGGGAGGCAGCAGUGGGGAAUUUUGGACAAUGGGGGCAACCCUGAUCCAGCCAUGCCGCGUGAGUGAAGAAGGCCUUCGGGUUGUAAAGCUCUUUCGGCCGGGAAGAAAUCGGCGACUCUAACAUAGUCGCUGGAUGACGGUACCGGACUAAGAAGCACCGGCUAACUACGUGCCAGCAGCCGCGGUAAUACGUAGGGUGCGAGCGUUAAUCGGAAUUACUGGGCGUAAAGCGUGCGCAGGCGGUUUUGUAAGACAGAUGUGAAAUCCCCGGGCUUAACCUGGGAACUGCGUUUGUGACUGCAAGGCUAGAGUACGGCAGAAGGGGGUGGAAUUCCACGUGUAGCAGUGAAAUGCGUAGAGAUGUGGAGGAACACCGAUGGCGAAAGCAGCCCCCUGGGCCUGUACUGACGCUCAUGCACGAAAGCGUGGGGAGCAACAGGAUUAGAUACCCUGGUAGUCCACGCCCUAACGAUGUCGACUAGUCGGUCGGAGCA
rnacentral:rRNA from 1 species